rnacentral:rRNA from 1 species
CCUACGGGUGGCUGCAGUGAGGAAUAUUGGUCAAUGGACGAGAGUCUGAACCAGCCACGUAGCGUGAAGGAUGACUGCCCUAUGGGUUGUAAACUUCUUUUAUAUGGGAAUAAAAUGUUCCACGUGUGGGAUUUUGUAUGUACCAUAUGAAUAAGGAUCGGCUAACUCCGUGCCAGCAGCCGCGGUAAUACGGAGGAUACGAGCGUUGUCCGGAUUUAUUGGGUGUAAAGGGAGCGUAGGUGGAUUGUUAAGUCAGUUGUGAAAGUGUGGGGCUCAACCGUAAAAUUGCAGUUGAAACUGGCAGUCUUGAGUACAGUAGAGGUGGGUGGAAUUCGUGGUGUAGCGGUGAAAUGCGUAGAUAUCAGGAAGAACGCCGAUGGCGAAGGCGGCUAACUGGAAUGCAACUGACACUGAGGAGCGAAAGUGUGGGUAUCAAACAGGAUUAGAUACCCGAGUAGUC